CCCGUGCCCGUCCUCUUUCUCCCCCAUCCCCGUUCCCUCAUCUAACCCUAAAUCUCGCCCCAGCCGUCUCUUUCCUCCCCGCGCCGCCUGCCCCGGAUCUGGAGGAAGAGGAGGGAGGCAGGAUCUGGAGGAGGAAGAGGAGAUCCGAGCGUCCCGGCGGUGGCUCGACCGAUGCGAGGUGACGACGAGCUAAUGAGUGCCUCUUCGACUCCUUCCUCCGUCCUCGCCGCUGCCGCCGCUCCGACUCCUCUCUCCGUGCUCGCCGCCGCUGCCGCCUCUAUUUACGUCCUGCGGGAUGACGCCGCAGCUCCGUCUGACCGACCCUCAUGGAGGCGGUGCUGCUGGCCAUCGUUCUCAACCUGAGCUUGUCGCCCCCCUGCUUCUGGUGACUAGCAGCUAAAGGAAGGAGAGGGGAGCUCGACGGACUGCGUCUCAUACAGACCCACACGCCCCCUGACUUCGACAAGACCAGCAUUAUAGUAUUGACCCCUCGUCCGCCCCGGGUGCGGAGGCGAGCUUCCCGGCGACGGUGGCACUGGCUUGAGGCGGGGGAGCGGCUGAUGCAGGGUUGGAUCGAGGCAUGGGAGCGACGGAUGCGGGCGUCGACCUGCGAAGAGGCGAGAGGAGCGGUGGUUGCGGCGUUGAGCUGCGAAGAGGUGCCGCUCGGGCGCGAGACCACAGAGGCGGGAGCGGCUGCUUCGGGCCCCGGCCGUCUCAUUCACCGAUGACGGCCUCCUCGGCCUCAACAUCAAGGGCCGCCUUCUCGCAGAGAAGAACUUCAAGCUGAAGAGGAAGAGCGGCGCCGUCGAGUUCGCCUAGACCAUACUCGACUUCAGAAAGGGCCAAGACGUCAGGAUCAAGGCCGGAUACGAGCUCUAUCGCAAGGUACAAAGCUGAAAUGCUUGAUGAUGCGCCUCGUAUAUUCGAGGCUGUUUUCCAGUGUACCCUUGCGGUAGGAAUUACAACCUUGUUUGAUUGUUCGGUCUGGCCAGAUGAUUACUAAAAAUUUCGAAGAUUAUCCUGAGCCCGCCUCAAGUUUUUUUUCUUUACUUCAUGCUAUUGGCACCCAUUGCUUCAAAGCUUUAAUUCAGCUUUCCAGACAGGUUUAUGAUGACCUUUUUAAUUGCUACUAUCAGCUCCUUCGAUGUUAUCUAUUAAUACAGAAACCCAAAUUACUUCUCUUGAAUUUGAUCAUUGGACUAUUUGUUUCAGCAAUUGAAGCUUGUGAUGUAUUCGAUUAACUAAGUAUGCUUCCUGCUAUUUUUUUACACUAUUGUUAAUGCCAAACUGUUGUCAUGACUUACUGGUGAAAUUUAGAAGUGAUAUAUUUGCACAUAUAUAUGGGUAUUUAACUUAACAUGAUCUGCAUGUUCUGAAUCUGCAGUUCUGCACUAUGCUCUGCUGGAUGUCGCCUAAGCAGAGGAUGCGGCAGUCUCGGCCACAUUUGGUUUUCCUAAGCUAAUGUGGGGUUUCUUUCCCUUAUAUUCUUGCAAGAUGUGGUAAUAUCUUUCAUGCCGUCUCCUGUUCGAUGAAAUGCCUGUGAGCUGAAACAUUUUGCAUUGCAUGUUUCUCUGCCUGUGCAGGUUCUUUGUUGGUUCGUUCGACCAUGCCGUUAACCAACAAGGUUAGGUCUACUCAGAUUGCCUUGGGUUAUUACUUCUUGAUAAUAUAGGCCGUGAACUCCUGCAUUUGUGCGGCUAGGUUGCCUGUCUAUGUGUUUCGGGGUUCACCUUAUUAUGCUUGUCGUGCUUUGUAUGGGUUUUCCUUCAGAUCUUGUUAGAAAAAAAAUGUGUUCUUGAUUACUUAUGCUUGUCUUGGUGGUUUUCUUCCUGGGUGAUUGUGUGCUCAUAUGCCAUUGGUCGAUAUCCAUGUUUACAGAGGAUGCCCACUUUUCUUAGUUUCAUACCGAUUCUUAAUAGUCUUGCAAUGCCUGCUCGGGUUAGUUCUUUAAAUGAGUAGAGAUAAUAAAUGUAUGGGGGUUCCAAUAUCAAAUGUACCACCUGGUUAUUGUUUACCCAACUAAUACGUGCUGCUUGGUGAUAAAGGAAAAACAGCUAGAAAAAUAAUUAAUAAAGUGUACCAUCUGCUUAUUGUUUUAUACACAGUCGCUUGAUUCUUUUGUUCCUCUAUAGGCCUCUGAUCAUGUCUGCAGUGUGCGGCUAGGUUAUUCGUCCGUCUGGGUCGUAGGUUCUUUCCUUCCUGCCAACGGCGGGUACAAGACUUGAGCGGUUAACGGGCAAGCACUAUAUGCACCUUUCAUCUAUGCUAAUAUAGCCUGUUUUGUAAAGCCAAUGUAUGCUAUCACCAAGUGAUCUGAAUAUUUUCUUUCAAGCAUCAAGCUUUCGUGUAAUGGAAUAUAAGUAUUUUAAGUUGAUUCUAAAUCAAUCUCAUACACAUGCUUUGAAUGCUUGGCUCGCUCUCGCUUUUUGCGUCAUGGUCAAACAUGCAGCGAUGACUUUGUUUAAUAUUUAUCACUUCAUAGCGCCUAUAUGUGACUAUCUACUUUCUUUGCUAAUAACAUUGUAAAUAAUUAAUCGUAAGCUUCUUAGAACAUUAUGUAUCAUCACUAAGCAUCUAUCUACCAGCAAUAAAUACUUAUUUUCAUAUGUUUCAAUAUGUGCCCGAAUAAUAUUAAUGUACAUUCUUUCAAUACAUGGCUUACUCUCGGCCUUUACGCCAUUGGCGCAAUUGGUCAUCUAGUUGAACAUAUAAAGGAUGAGGGAAUGCGGCCAACUAGUGGCUGUGGCCACGUCUCCUUUUUUUCGCGGGUUACUGUAGCAGCGCUUGGAGAGAUGAGUCCCGAGCGCCCCCAUCUUCCCUCCUCUCUCUUUUCCACUUUCCCCUCGCCUCCGCCUCCGCCAUCGCCUCCUCCCCUCUCCUCCCUCUCUCCCGUCUCCUCCCUCUCAACCCUAGCCGUCACCACCCAGUACCCACCCUCUACUGCUCCACCGCGCACCCACCUCCCCUUGGAUCAGGUGCAGGCCGGCCGGUGCGCGCAGGCGGCGGCGCUCCACUCGAGGGCAAAGGGAGGCAACGGCGGCGGUGGCCGCCGUGGACACCCGCGGCUAUGACGAACCCCGUUGCUAGGAGGUCACCAUGGAGGCCCGUCCCGAGCUCGGCUCGCCGCUCCUCCGGUGACCCUCGUUGUGCCUGGAUCCGGGUCGGGUGGAUCCGACGAUUCCCCGACGCGCAGGCGGGCCGGCACGCGGCCCUAGGCGGAGGAGCCCUCCCAUGGCGCCGACGGCUCUGGAGAUGAGGGCUGCACAGAGGAAGAGGAGCACCAGCAGCUCGAGGUCUAUAACGGGAUCUUGAGGAAAUCAGAUAAUGCAUUUUGGUUGUAUCAACUAUACUGAAUCUGCAAAGCCUUUUUUGUGUGCAGAGAAAUUCACCCUCUGCAUUAGUUGCAAAAGAUGCUGAUUUUGAUCAUAACAAUUAUAGUUGUUCAAGCAGUAGCAGAUUUGGCAACCUCACAGUCAUCUCAUUCAGAAUUCACGUCCUAUCCUCAACGGAGCUUAAGAUGCUGAUUUUGAUCAUAACAAUUAUAGUUGUUCAAGCAGUAGCAGAUUUGGCAACCUCACAGUCAUCUCAUUCAGAAUUCGCGUCCUAUCCUUAACGGUUAGCUUAUUAACGCGUUGUGGGCACUUCAUUUGGCAUCGUCUUUCAGGCUAAAUUCUUGGAAACUGGGGAGACGGUGGCCAUUAAGAAGGUACUGCAGGACCGACGGUCCAAGAACCGGGAGCUGCAGCUUAUGCAUUUGAUUAACCAUUCCAAUGUUGUUCUCCCUCAAGCACUGCUUCUUCUCAACCACAAGUAGAGAUGAGCUGUUUCUGAACCUUGUCAUGGAGUAUGUCCUGGAGACACUCUACCGUAUGCUUAAGAACUACAGUAAUGCCAAACAGGGGAUGCCACUUAUCUACGUCAAGCUUUACACCUAUCAGGUUUUUGAAUUGCCAGUGAAUAAAUGUGAAAUGUGUGCCUGCCAUUGUGCAACUACUCUAAGUCAAUUCUACAUUGGUGGCGGCUAUUCAGGGGGCUUGCGUAUAUUCAUACUGUUCCUGGAGUCUGCCACAAGGAUGUGAAGCGACAAAAUGUUUGGUCUUGCUGUUCGUGGCCAUUACGCUGCACACCAUCAGGCAAAAUAAGGCAACGAAGGCAUACAAGUAUAUCGCAAGGUCAAUGCUAUAUGUGUAUGUAUGUAUGGAUGGAUAGGUGCUACUGAAGUGAGAUUCCGAGAAAAUCUGCAUAUAAGUAUAUCGCAAGAUAAAAUGCAUGUU